UACAGAGGUCUCAAGCGUUGUUCGGAUUCAUUGGGCGUAAAGGGUGCGUAGGUGGCGUGGUAAGUCGGGUGUGAAAUUUCGGAGCUUAACUCCGAAACUGCAUUCGAUACUGCUGUGCUUGAGGACUGGAGAGGAGACUGGAAUUUACGGUGUAGCAGUGAAAUGCGUAGAGAUCGUAAGGAAGACCAGUGGCGAAGGCGGGUCUCUGGACAGUUCCUGACACUGGAGGCACGGAAGGCCAGGGGGAGCAAAACGGGG
rnacentral:rRNA from 1 species